rnacentral:rRNA from 1 species
UACGUAGGGUGCGAGCGUUAAUCGGAAUUACUGGGCGUAAAGUGUGCGCAGGUGGCCGCGCAUGUCGAGUGUGAAAUCCCCCGGGCUUAACUUGGGAAUUGCGCUCGAAACUACGUGGCUCGAGUGUGGCAGAGGAAGGUGGAAUUCCACGUGUAGCGGUGAAAUGCGUAGAGAUGUGGAGGAACACCGAUGGCGAAGGCAGCCUUCUGGGCCAACAC